GACUUACAAGGUAUUUCCCUACUUUUCUUCAAAUCAGACCAUUGUUGAUUUCUUUUACAACCCAGUUGGUUUAGAUUAAUUGCCACAAAAUGAACUUGGACGCAAGUCAUACAUGUUUGGACCUCCUUUCUGUCUUGAUUCUCAAAUAUUUUUCACUGAACGGAUAUCUAAAUUCAGUUUGCCAUUGCUUCAUUCUGACAUGCAUAGUGGUAUAUGUUUCUUGGGUAUGUCUUAUGUUGCUCGUACACUCACAACAUUGCGCCAAAAGGGAAGUUCAUUGCAUUUGUGUCCGGCUAAGCAAAGGCUGAUAGUCCAGGAGAUGAGCUGUUUUAUGAUAUGUAUGACAUACAGACCAGUCAGUGAACUGUUUUAUGAUAUGUAUGACAUACAGACCAGUCAAUGAGCUAUCUCUUGAUAAUUGCUUUGUCUCAACUGUAAGUUUCCGCUUUAUGAGAAUGUAGCGUUUAGGUCUCAUACUGUAAAUGUUCAUGGCAGUUUUAUUCUUUGCCGUGUUAUGUUGCUACUACUCGCUUUGAGAAAACUGUCACAGAAGUUCUGAAUAUGUAUACGUUCCACGUAAUUAGGUGACAACUUGUUGAUAUCUCCUUCAAGACUGUACCUCAGAACAACACGUAAGAUUGGUAUAAUAACUAAAUAAUAAUGAUGGAUUCUAUUUGUACCUACCUACUAGGAAAAAUCUGAUCGUUCUAUAUAAUAGUUCCGUCUGUUUUAACUAAAUUUCAUUUCAUUAGCUAUACUCACUGGAUCUUUGUGAUUCCUUUCUCAUGAUCCAGUGCACUAACUAAAUAUCAAUUUGAUCCAGUGCCAUGGAGUUCUGUUGUCGGUGACUGGUGUCUGCUGAACCAUGUGAUAAGACAAGGCAUCGCUCAUGUCCUGGUCUUGCUCCUUUUUCGGUGCUUCUGAGUCCGCUGAGCUUGGGAGACAUGGUCAAUGCCAGGUGCGCAAGCAUGUUGAUGGUUACCAUCCAGGAUCAUCGGCAAACGUCAAGGAGUAUAGAAGUGUUAUUUGGACUCACCAAAAAAGAUAUGUCCCUUCAACUAUUAUUGUAUG